rnacentral:rRNA from 1 species
GACGAACGCUGGCGGCGUGCUUAACACAUGCAAGUCGAGCGAUGAAGCCCAGCUUGCUGGGUGGAUUAGUGGCGAACGGGUGAGUAACACGUGAGUAACCUGCCCCUGACUCUGGGAUAAGCGUUGGAAACGACGUCUAAUACUGGAUAUGACUACUGGUCGCAUGGCCUGGUGGUGGAAAGAUUUUUUGGUUGGGGAUGGACUCGCGGCCUAUCAGCUUGUUGGUGAGGUAAUGGCUCACCAAGGCGACGACGGGCAGCCGGCCUGAGAGGGUGACCGGCCACACUGGGACUGAGACACGGCCCAGACUCCUACGGGAGGCAGCAGUGGGGAAUAUUGCACAAUGGGCGAAAGCCUGAUGCAGCAACGCCGCGUGAGGGAUGACGGCCUUCGGGUUGUAAACCUCUUUUAGUAGGGAAGAAGCGAAAGUGACGGUACCUGCAGAAAAAGCACCGGCUAACUACGUGCCAGCCGCCGCCGUAAAAC